AUCGAACGCUAGCGGGAUGCUUUACACAUGCAAGUCGAACGAGUGGCGGACUGGUGAGUAAUCUAUCGGAACGUGCCCAGUAUAGGGGGAUAACUACUCGAAAGAGUGGCUACUACCGCAUACUAUUGUAGCGGCCGAUACCGGAUGAGCUAGGUGGUGGGGUAAAGCCUCACCAAGGCAACGAUCCGUAGCAGGUUUGAGAGGACGAUCAGCCACACUGGGACUGAGACACGGCCCAGACUCCUACGGGAGGCAGCAGUGGGGAAUUUUGGACAAUGGAGGAAACCCUGAUCGAGCAAUCCCGCGUGUAUGAGAAGGCCUUCGGGUUGUAAAGUACUUUUGUCAGAGAAGCGGUAUCUGCAGAGAAAGCACCGGCUAACUACGUGCCAGCCGCCGCGGUAAUUC
rnacentral:rRNA from 1 species